CAGACAGGGAGUUUUUGCUGACAAGGAAACAAGCUUUUGCACCAUAGUCCAACUUUCAAUUUUCAUGGUCCUCUAUUCAUUGUUCAGUAUCCCUUUGAAGAUUAAAGUACAAGCCUGAAGACAGGACAUCUCUUAAAUCGGAUCUUUGUGCUGGCUUUGUUUACUGCUUUGGAGAGGCGUUUUCUCUACUUCACACUUGCAAAUAACCUCUUAAGUUGUUGGACGUGCUGUAGGAGUAUUUGGAUUCACUUUCAAAGCCUAUAUGAUGUCCUAACUGUUCAAACAUCAGGAGUGCCAUUCCUUUAGGAUGAGAAUCUUAAACCAGCCCAGCAGUCUGAAGAUAAUGGCUAUGGUGAGAUCUUCACUGCAGAAAGUGAUGCUUUUUCUACAACACAUCCAAAGAAUGUCCGUCACGUCACCACGUUAUCAAAAACUGUGCAAGGACAUUCAGACAGAUGUUGAUACCCAGACUGAUCUUUCUAAAAGGGCUCUGGGGUGUCAGAUCCAGAAUACUAAGGCAUACGAGCUUGAUAAGUUCGGAGAUGUGGACCACAUUCAUAUAGCCUCGAGAAGAGAGUGUUUGGAGGCAGGUGCGGAGAAAUGGACAGGACUCAUAGCUAUCCUUGAAGAGCUUUGGUUCUGGGUAAAGCUGAAGGAUGAGGAGCUGACAAGGCAGAGGCCAGUGGGAGAAGACGUACAUACUUUACUGCAGAAACAAGGCUACUGUACGGCCCUGCACAGCGAGUUGAUUGGACGGAGGCAGGAUGUGAAUCAGAUGAGUCUGUCUCUGGCUGUUCAGCCAACAGCAAUGGAAGUCCAGAGCAAUAUAGAGACGGCUGCAGCAGAGACAGUCCAGGAGGAGAAGAUUCGUCAGCUGGCUCAAGCGGUUCAGGAGCAGGCCAUUGAGGUCCAGCAGCACUGGGAGCGGUUCAGUGCUCAGGCCGCCAGCUGGCAGCACGAGGUUGACUGGGCUCUGGGAAAACUUCAGGAUCUCCAACAUGCCAUGAACCAACUGGACCUCGGCCUGGCUGAGAUGGAGAAUGAGAGCUUGCACUCUGAGGAACACAGCAUGGUCAACUGUGUGCUGGAAAACGUGGAAAAUAUUGGGAUUGUGGGUAAUCAGCACCGGCAGUUGCAAUGCUCUCAAAUGGAUAAGAGACAUUUCUCCCAUGACUUCUUGUCUGUUUCCGUUCAGUUCCCUUGGCAAAGAGCUGUUUUUCAUAACGGUGUCCCUUAUUAUAUCAAUCAUGAGCAGCAGACCACCUCGUGGGAUCAUCCAAAGAUGACACAGCUAUUUCAGUCAAUGGCUGAUCUGAGCCAUGUGCGUUUCUCCGCUUACCGCACAGCGAUGAAGAGCCGCCGGCUACAGAAAGCCCUCUGCUUGGACCUUUUAGAGCUCAGCAUCGCCCAGAGUGUCUUUGAUCAACACAAACUCACGCGUAAUGGGCAUCUACUGGAGAUUCCUGGCAUCAUAAACUGUCUCUGCACAAUCUACCGUGAACUUCAGCAGGUGCAUCCGGAUCUGGUUAAUGUGCCUUUGUGUGUGGAUCUGUGUCUAAACUGGCUUCUAAAGGUCUACGACAGUGACAAAAGUGGAAAAGUUCAAGUGUUGUCCAUGAAGAUCGGGUUGUUUUCUCUUUCAAAAGGACCUCUAAAGGAUAAGUACAAAUAUCUGUUCGCUCAGGUGGCCGGCGCUGCAGGCUUCUGUAACCAAAGGCAGCUGGCGUUACUGCUACACAACAGCAUCCAAAUCCCACACCAGCUCGGGGAGGCCGCCGCUUUCGGAGGGAGUAACAUGGAGCCCAGUGUCCGUAGCUGCUUUCAGUAUGUGGGCCGAGAUGACGUCAUUGAGUUGCAGCAGUUUGUGGACUGGAUGCAUUUGGAGCCGCAGUCCAUGGUCUGGUUGCCUGUACUUCAUCGAGUUGCCGCCGCAGAAACCGCCAAACAUCAGGCCAGAUGUAACAUCUGUAAAGAGUGUCCCAUGGUGGGCUUCAGGUAUCGGAGUCUGAAGCACUUCAACUACAAUGUGUGUCAGAUGUGUUUUUUCUCGGGAAGGAUUUCCAAGGACCAUCAUCUCAGCUAUCCAAUGGUGGAGUACUGCACCCCUACCACCUCAGGAGAAGAUGUGCGUGACUUCACCAAGGUGCUGAAAAACAAGUUCCGCUCAAAGAAGUACUUCACCAAACACCCUCGGCUCGGCUACCUGCCCGUGCAGACCAUCCUGGAGGAAGAGCAUUUAGAGACCCCCGUCGCAUUUGUAAGCAUGUGUCCAGAGGAGUAUGAGUCGACACAGAACAACAGAGAAUCCAGUGGCAUCUUACCUGUAGCAGAAUCUCAGCUGUCAACAGGAAAAAUUAGUGCAGAUGACAUCCACACUCAGAUUGAUGAGAGAGCAGCUACAUGUGCACAUCAGAGCUCAUCUGACACUGAGAUGAUGAUGAUGAAUGAGCUGGAACCUUCUCAGAGUCUGGAGGCGGACAGCCACGGCAGAGGAUCUGUGAAUGGCAGUGAAGCGACACAACUGACACUGGUAGGUCACAUGACAAUGACAACAUGAUGAGUGCAGUACAUCUGGAUUACACCGAUACUACACACAUUCAUACUUUAUAGAGCGGUCUCUUAAGUAAUUACAAAAGAAGUACCUACUUAGACUGUAUGUAAUUCGGACACAGCCUAUGUGUCAAAUGUUUGCAUGCAAGAACAUAUUUUUAUACAAUUUCUACAGCAUUUAUGCACUUAUAGACUAUAAUUUGUGUUAUAGGCAAAUAAUAUAAAUUAUACAGUUUAAAUUUUCAAAUUUAAAUUUUUAUCUACUAUCUUCUAUGUAAGCCUGAAAAAGCUUGUAAAAAAAAAAUCAUAAUUUUGACUUGCAAUUCCGAGUUCUGAAUUUCCAUCUCACAAUUCUAUUUUUUUGGUCCCUCCAAUGAAUAAAAGAUUUUAAAAAAAGUGAAAAAUAAAUAAAUAAAUAACUAUGACUUUUUAUCUCACAAUUCUGACAUUUUUUUCCCCUGGCAACUGAGAGUUUAUAUCUCACAAUCCAAACUUUUCUUCUUUGCAAUUCUGACAUUUUUCCUCAGAAUUCUGAGGUUAUAUUUUAGAAUUCUGAGAUUAUAUCUUGAAAUUCUGAGAAAAAGUCAGAAUUGCCAGAUAUAAACUCAGAAUUGUGGGGGAAAAGUCACAACUACCAUUUAUAUUUAGUUUUAGUUCUGUUCCAGAAACCAUCUUUCAUAAUCUACCCUCUUUCCUUUAGAUCUGAGGAUGUUUUUGGCAACUUCACAUGAGAUUCUUCAAUCAGAUGAGACAGCGGUGGCCUGGGAUCUGAAGUUUAAGUUCUUUGCAUAAGAUUUCAUCUUACAUCACCCAUGUAAGAGCAUCUCACACCCCACACCGAGAUGACUGAUGCCGUUUUAGUGUGACAGGACUUUCAUCAUCGCUGUCUUCUGCUCCUCAAACUGAUAAGAGCUGGAGUCGACCGCAGUGCAGAUGUGUUUGUUUAUCCGUGAGCUGUUCGCUAGAGGAUGACCGAACAGACAGAUCACUCGCCAAUCAGACCCCACGCAACUUCCUCCUAGAGAGGCUGCCGUCAUGCUUUAAUGCCGCUGAUAAAAAUAUUUGGAGAAAUGUAGCAUUCCAUUACUUGCUCACUAAUGGAUCCUCUGCAGUGAAUGGGUGCCGUCAGAAUGAGAGUCCAAAGAGCUGAUAAAAACAUCACAAUAAUCCACACCUGUCCACCAAUUAAUUACCAUCUUGUGAAAUGAAAAGCAGCGAUUUUGUAAGAAACCAAUCCAUCAAGGAGCUUUAAUAUUAAACUGUUGUAAACUCCUAUACAUAUUGCGCUGCACUGUUGUCUAUCUAUAGGACAAAAGAAGCAAGAAUUUGAAAAGCAGUCACAUGUGAUAUUGGACAUGUAAUAGCUUCUUUCCUCCAUCUUUAUUCCAAAAUAUGUUUCAUACAUUUGUUUGCUGUGUGCAUCUUACAUAUGACACUAUAUUGUGUGCUUUGGUGUCUCAGUAAAUCCUUAAAGUUAUAUUGUUAAUUAACUAAAAAUAACUAAAUAAAGCUUCUGUGUCACCAUUAAACUUCUUUGGAUUUGACUGGAAAAGCUGCAUUGUAAUAAAUAUAUAUUUUUGUCUCAGAUGUUUCUGCUCUAUUUUCAAUCAAAUUUUGAUAAUGAAUUUUAAAAGCCAUGUUUAGGCAUCAUUUAAUUAAAAGAUUACUCAUAAUCAGUCUCAAACUCUACUGAAUAUCAAUAAUGCAUGAUUAAUUAAGGAUGUUUUGAACAGGAUGCCAUUUUAAUCUCUUGUCUGAUUAUUGUCUCGUUACACUGAUGUUUUCCUGUUGUUGUUGUUUUUUUUUUUGUUUUUCUCUUCCAGUUACAAUGUUGCAAACUAAAAAGUGUCUAUUUCUUUAACCAGGAUGCUAU